ACCGUCCAGCGCCACCGACUGGCAGUCGAAGUUUGACUGCUUUGGCUUGCGGACGUGCGUUCAUCGUUCGUACGACUACGCCCCCCAAUCGAUAACGACACCGUUCGUUUUCGUGUGCCGAUUCGAACGUUAACCGUUCGCGUCACAAUACCUCAUCCGUUUCCAGUCGAUUCCUACGAUCCACGGCCGUCCCGAGAGACCUAGGAGACGCGCGACCAGGACGACGAAAACAACAACAACAACAAAUAACAAUGGAAGACGACCAAAAUGGCGUCGCCACCGCAGUCGUCGGGCGGCCGCCGAACAGCGAAACCUGCGGAAUGAUCGUCAACCACGGCGGCGGCGGCGAGGAGGGCCCGACGGCGACGGCUGCGGCGGCGGCUGCAGCGCCUCCGACACCAGCGCUCCCAGCGGCGGCGGCAACAGCGUUUGGAGCCCCGGCGCGCCCAGCGCCACGGUACGGCGCCCAUCUCAACUGCAACAAUAACAAUUCGGUCAUCAAAGGGCAGCUAAAGGGUCCCGGUAAUGUAGAUCACAGAAACAGACGUACGCGUCGUGGUAAGCGUAAAAGCAGGAAGCAAACACCAUACAUGAGGGAUGGGAUGUUAUAUCGAGACAAGGCUGUGGCUCCUAACAACACUAAUCAAUUCUUAAUGGAUGAUCAUAAUGAUGGACCAGACAUAGAUAAAAAACUGUUUGCACGGUACAGCAAUGAAAAUGGACGUACAAGAAAUUCAAGUUAUACCAGUGUUGAAUCAGAAGGCGAACAGAUGUAUUCUUCAUCGGAUGAUGAUGGUACUUCUAUACAAAAAGAAUUUAUUGAUACCUAUAGACUUAUUCAAGAAGAAGAAUUGGCGGGGUUGACUCAAAGCGAACUCGUUCAACGAGUGAUUGAGCUUGAGGAAAAAAACCAAAUGCUAGAGUCUAAUAAGAGGUUUAAAAAAAAUACAGUUACAUUAAAUGGCAUACCUAAAGAAGAAGAUGAAGAUAACUCUAUUGAUUUAGAAGAAUAUAGAUCACUGCAAGUACAGAAUAGAGAAUUGAUAUCGCAAAACAAAGUGCUGCAAGCUGAAAUUGAAACUCUCAAACAAAUACAAAGCAAGACGAGGAAUAAUGAUUCAGAUAGCUCUGUAGAUAGUGAAAGUUCAUCAGACUCCAGUAGCUCUUCCAGUUCAUCAGAUGAACAAGCAAUAGAAAUGAAGUUCUUAUUACGGAGUAGUGGAAGAGAUGAUUGAUCAGUCAAGUACCAAAAUAAUGUUCCAUAUGAACUGUGAAGUUUGGCAGUGAUCACUCUAAUAUGGAAUUUAGUGAUAACUUGUACCUAACGUAUAACCACCAGAUUAAACAUCUGCAAAAACACGACAGCAACUGGUGUAGUAUUGACGUCAGAAACAAAUUGUUUGCAAAA